AGUGAACGCUGGCGGUAGGCCUAACACAUGCAAGUCGAACGGCAGCACAGUAAGAGCUUGCUCUUACGGGUGGCGAGUGGCGGACGGGUGAGGAAUACAUCGGAAUCUACUUUUUCGUGGGGGAUAACGUAGGGAAACUUACGCUAAUACCGCAUACGACCUACGGGUGAAAGCAGGGGAUCUUCGGACCUUGCGCGAUUGAAUGAGCCGAUGUCGGAUUAGCUAGUUGGCGGGGUAAAGGCCCACCAAGGCGACGAUCCGUAGCUGGUCUGAGAGGAUGAUCAGCCACACUGGAACUGAGACACGGUCCAGACUCCUACGGGAGGCAGCAGUGGGGAAUAUUGGCCAAUGGGCGCAAGCCUGAUCCAGCCAUACCGCGUGGGUGAAGAAGACCUUCGGGUUGUAAAGCCCUUUUGUUGGGAAAGAAAAGCAGCAGGUUAAUACCCCGCUGUUCUGACGGUACCCAAAGAAUAAGCACCGGCUAACUUCGUG
rnacentral:rRNA from 1 species